rnacentral:lncRNA from 1 species
UUUUUUUUUUUUUAAUUUCUCUUUCUAACCUGGCUCAUCUAGCAUAGUGUCUGACAAACUUUUAAGACACUCAGGAAUGUCCCUUAAAUAAAUGCACAGAUGCUUCUUUGUGCUUGACCUUCAGAGCCUGUUUAGGAGGCACACAAGAAAGGCAGAUCCAUUGCUGGUAUAUUUAACCCAGAAGUUAAGCUCUGGGCCCAUGGAGCCUCAUUGCCUGGGUUCAAAUCCCAGCUCCACCUUUUAUUACCUGGACGUCCUCGGGCCACAUUAGGCAACCUCUCUGUGCCUUAGCGUUUCCAACUGUCAAAUGGGGAUGGUGACACCAGUACUCAGAGAUGAAAUGAGUCAGUGAACAGAAAGCACUCAGAAUUGUGCCUGGCACGUGGGAAACACUCCAUAAAUGAAAGCGCUUAUUACUGUUAUCACUGGAGACAGAUCUUGGUUUGGGUCCCAUAUGUCUGAGCUGAGUCACUUGCUUUAAAUCUGUAACUGUCCUCCAAAGGACAAACCUUCAAGCUGCAGGUCCCCAACACUUCCUGAGUACAGGCCCACGACUGACCUCUGUCUACCUCCUCCCAAGACAGCUGCUUUGGAAAGGACAACCGUCAGUCUUCAUGCAAACUGUGAUGUAAUAUAUAAUUAUAUGCACACUCUAUGUACAUGCCUGUCAUUGAUCUACAUUGCUGAGCUAUAAAAUACAAUGUACAUAUAUAUCGUAUCUGCUAUCCACAACCCCAUCCAAAACAAAGCCAAGGAAGCAAUACAUGGAUCUGUCCUAUGUCGGAGCCCCAUGCUGAUGAAUGAGACUGUAGGAGCCCUGGCCCCGAGCCAGCCCCUCGCCCGGGCCACCCUCAUCUGUAAAGCAGGGAUCCUCAGCCCCUCUGCCUCCCAGGACGUCUACGUAAGUGACAAAACAAAAGUGAAAGUUAGGACCGUUCUGCCCAGCACACCAGAGGGGACUCCAUCAAUAUUAGUUCUCUUUUCCCCUUUAAGAAAGCGAAAUAUUUGACAUGGAAAACCCAGGAAAUUUUACAGGAAUAAGAUAAAGUUAUCCAUAGCCUCCUAAAAACAGUAAAUCAAGGGAAUUUUUCAAAAGUCCAUCUUCCAAGAGCACUGGUUCAUGAAGCCAUUAGGAAGUUUCUAAACUUCCCCUGAAUUUCUGGUAAUCAAAAAACUAUGUGCUUAAAUGAUAAGAUGUCAGUGGCAGCAGCUGAGGUCUGGCCUCGACCGUUUUUUUUUUUUUUAAUUCUUUCCAGACGAAAGGUGCUGCUUGAAGCCCCCAGUCCUUUGCCAGCAAGGCCUGGGCCAGACAGAAGGGGAGCGCACAGCCUCUUCUCUCCCAUCCGGUGGUCCCCAGCCAGCCACCAGCUCCUCGGUCCACGGCUCGCCUACAGGCACACCACCAGUUGGGGAUUACAGCUGUCCUGGGGAGGGGGCAGGUGUCAGCCACCAAAUGGAACAAGAUUCCAAAUAGCUCUGGCAUUGCCAGGCAAACAGUAACUCAGCCUCAGGAGCCCUGACCUCUGGGCCCAUGAACUUGAGUUCAUAUUCUCUGAUGUGGGACAGGCUAGUGAAGGUUAACUGUGACCAGAACCAGUUACGUCCACCUACCCAUCCACCCAGAGAAUUUCACUGCAUCACUUGGCACAGAAGCUUUAUACAAAGGGGGCAAGUACAAAGACCAUCUCUUCUCUCCCUUCUCCAUCACGGCCUCCCCCAGCAUGACACAGGAGUUAACUGUGUAGACUCUGAAGUUGUGGCAUCUGGAUUUGAAUCCAGGAUCCCCUACCUACUGCCUGGGAAACAAGUUUCUUAGCGUCUCCAUGCUAAGAAGUCUUCUCUUCUGUAAAAUGAAGACAAAGUACACAAAGUAGUGCCUGACACCCUGCAAGCAUACAGAAAGCUCGGAUUAUUUUAUGAUUAGCAAUUAGCAUUUUUCCUAUCAUAUCCAGCUUCUGGAACUGCCCGGUUCUGGUCAAUACUGACAGGGACACUAUCUUCCACAACAAAGGGCUCAAACUUGCAGUCCCUGGCAAGUUCAGACCAUGAGGCUCAGCCUUGACCUGACCAUCUACAGUCUGCAUCAGGCAUUCAUUCAAUUUCCAUUCAUUCAAGAAUACUUACAAACCACCCACUAAGCAUCGAACCACACAGAGAACAAGAAGGACAAAGUCACAGCUUCUACCGUCUAGUGGAGGAGACAUACCCAAAACAAGAAGCAAGAGAAAUCAACAAAAACUGUUUAAAGACUGUGGUUGGUACCACAGUGGACAUCAAUGGCGUCAGUGACUCAGAAUCCCAGAGGCCAGGGAAGGGGCCUAGGGGACGCAGUGGGCUGAGCAGGUGACUAAAGGUGGGAUGACAGGAAGCAGCCUUUCAAAGAGCUGGAGGAAGAGUGUUCCAGGAGGAAGAACCAUAGCAUCAAGAGUUAGGGAACUAGGGUGCUGGGCCAGAGAGCAACCAGAUGAGGCUGGGCGAUGGCAGGGCUGGGCCACUCAGGGUUUCCUCAGAGUAAGAGGCUGCCGGGGGGGGGGCGGGGGGGGGGGCAUUAAGCUGCAGUGUGGCUCUGCCUGCCCUGAGCAGAUCUGCUGUAAGAGGACCACAGUAGAAACAGAGGGACAGGAGCUCCUGUCGUGGCUCAGCAGUAACCAUCCCGACUAGUAUUCAUGAGGACGCAGGUUCGACCCCUGGCCUCGCUCAGAGGGUUAAGGAUCAGGUGUUGCCAUGAGCUUCCAUGUAGUUCGCAGAUGCAGCACGCAUCCAGCGUUGCUGUGACUGUGGGGUAAGCUGGCAGCUACAGCUCUGAUCCAACCCCUAAGCCUGGGAACUUUCAUAUGCCACGGGCACUUAUGGAAAAAAGACAGAAAAAGAAAAAAAAAGAAGCAGAGGGACAGUCAGGAAAGAAACGAUAUACAGGCCACAGAAGAUGACGGUGGCCGGACUGGGGUGGCUACACUGGAGUCCGAGAGGGGAGGACUUUGGAGGGAGAAUGAACUAGAGUCUACGCAACUCAAAACGAAAUGCAGGAUCCUAAACACUGGUGUUACCUGUGAGCUUGUCAGAGAGCUGAUGCUCAGGCUGCACCCUAGAGACCUGGAGGGGGGGCCCAGGAGCCUGGGUUGUAACAAGCCCUCUGGAUGGUUCUGAGGUCCGCUCAAGUCUGAGAAACACUGGAUGCAAAGACUGACAGAGAACACAUGCAGGUCUGUGCCCCAGGGAAAGCUUCCCUUUCCCUCUGGGGCCGGGCAAACCCCAACCCCUGUAGCCAACAAACUGAGAUCCUCAAGGUGGUUUCUAGAAAAUACUAAGUCCAAGGGGGCGAUGCCUGCCUACCCGCUGGGGCCAGCCCUGGCCAGGCUGCAGGAGGAGGGAGGGGAGCUGGCAGGAGCCGGCCGGCAGGGCUGGAGCAGAGGGCAGGGGGCUAGGAGAGGCUGCAUUCCAGAUCCAGGAGAAAAAGGAGGGCAGUGGCUCAGAGUCCUGGGGCAGCACCGUCCUGAGGUCCAAGGGAUGAGAGAAUGCGUGAAGUGGCCCGUGGGAUCUCACUGGAUCCCUCAGCCACCCUUGUCGUCCUAGCCCAUUUAUUCCCUGGGGCUCUGUAGGGCCCAGGGGACUAGGAGAAAGGAGCGGGUCACAGAUCCAGGACUCCUGCACAGAGGCCAUAAAAAGCCAUUCCCUCCACAGGCCUGGGGGGGCAGACCUGCUCUCACAGACGUCACAGCAUUCCAUGUGGGAGUUCCCCUUGUGGCUCAGCGGUAAUGAACCUGACUAGCAUCCAUCAGGAUGCAGGUUUGAUCCCUGGCCUCACUCAGUGGGUUAAGGAUCCGGCGUUGCCGUGAGCUGUGGUGUAGGUCACAGAUGCGGCUCGGAGCUGGUGUAGCUGUGGCUGUGGUGUAGGCUGGCAGCUGCAGCUCCAGUUCAACCCCUAACCU